rnacentral:rRNA from 1 species
GGCCGAGCCGUAGUCGGACCCUGUCGAGACGGCCGGUCCGCACUAUGUGCGUGUAUCUGGUUCGGUUUUGGCAUCUCUUGAAGAGCGUGUCUGCGCUUGAUUGCGUGGCGCGGUAUUCAAGACUUUUACUUUGAGGAAUUAGAGUGUUCACGGCAGGCAAGCGCCUUGAAUAUAUUAGCAUGGAAUAAUAAUAUAGGAUUUUGGUUCUAUUUUGUUGGUUUCUAGGACUAAAAUAAUGAUUAAUAGGGAUAAUUG